rnacentral:rRNA from 1 species
AUUGAACGCUGGCGGCAGGCCUAACACAUGCAAGUCGAGCGGAUGAAGGGAGCUUGCUCCUGGAUUCAGCGGCGGACGGGUGAGUAAUGCCUAGGAAUCUGCCUGGUAGUGGGGGAUAACGUCCGGAAACGGGCGCUAAUACCGCAUACGUCCUGAGGGAGAAAGUGGGGGAUCUUCGGACCUCACGCUAUCAGAUGAGCCUAGGUCGGAUUAGCUAGUUGGUGGGGUAAAGGCCUACCAAGGCGACGAUCCGUAACUGGUCUGAGAGGAUGAUCAGUCACACUGGAACUGAGACACGGUCAAGACUACUACGGGAGGCAGCAGUGGGGAAUAUUGGACAAUGGGCGAAAGCCUGAUCCAGCCAUGCCGCGUGUGUGAAGAAGGUCUUCGGAUUGUAAAGAACUUUAAGUUGGGAGGAAGGGCAGUAAGUUAAUACCUUGCUGUUUUGACGUUACCAACAGAAUAAGCACCGGCUAACUUCGUG